UGGGGAAUCUUAGACAAUGGGGGCAACCCUGAUCUAGCCAUGCCGCGUGGGUGAUGAAGGCCUUAGGGUCGUAAAGCCCUUUCGCUGGGGAAGAUAAUGACGGUACCCAGUAAAGAAGCCCCGGCUAACUCCGUGCCAGCAGCCGCGGUAAUACGGAGGGGGCUAGCGUUGUUCGGAAUGACUGGGCGUAAAGCGCGCGUAGGCGGGCUGGAAAGUCAGGGGUGAAAUCCCGGGGCUCAACCCUGGAAUGGCCUUUGAAACUCCCAGCCUUGAGUUCGAGAGAGGUGAGUGGAAUUCCGAGUGUAGAGGUGAAAUUCGUAGAUNUAUCGGAGGAACACCAGUGGCGAAGGCGGCUCACUGGCUCGCACUGACGCUGAGGUGCGAAAAGCGUGGGGAGCAAACAGGAUUAGAUNCCCUGGUAGUCCACGCGUAAACGAUGAAUGCCAGACGUCGGGGGGCUUGCCCUUCGUGUCACACCUAACGGAUUAAGCAUUCCGCCUGGGGAGUACGGUCGCAAGAUUAAAACUCAAAGGAAUUGACGGGGUCAUAGCUGUUUCCU
rnacentral:rRNA from 1 species